rnacentral:rRNA from 1 species
UACGGAGGAUGCAAGCGUUAUCCGGAAUGAUUGGGCGUAAAGCGUCCGCAGGUGGCUAUGUAAGUCUGCUGUUAAAGAGUGAGGCUCAACCUCAUAAGAGCAGUGGAAACUACAUGGCUAGAGUGCGUUCGGGGCAGAGGGAAUUCCUGGUGUAGCGGUGAAAUGCGUAGAUAUCAGGAAGAACACCGGUGGCGAAAGCGCUCUGCUAGGCUGCAACUGACACUGAGGGACGAAAGCUAGGGGAGCGAACGGG